rnacentral:miRNA from 10 species
UCUUAGGUUGGUGCAAAUGUAAUUGCGGUUUUUGUCAUUACUUUUAAUGGCAAAAACCACAAUUGCAUUUCCACCAACCUAAUAUA